rnacentral:ncRNA from 2 species
AAUUUAAAAAGGCAAACUGUCUGAAAAGACAGGACGCAAAGCCAAUGGGCCUAAGCAUCUCGUACGGCAGCCGGCUGCUUUU